rnacentral:rRNA from 1 species
GCUUAACACAUGCAAGUCGAGCGGUAAGGCCCUUCGGGGUACACGAGCGGCGAACGGGUGAGUAACACGUGGGUGAUCUGCCUCGUACUUCGGGAUAAGCCUGGGAAACUGGGUCUAAUACCGGAUAUGACCUUCGGAUGCAUGUCUGAGGGUGGAAAGAUUUAUCGGUACGAGAUGGGCCCGCGGCCUAUCAGCUUGUUGGUGGGGUAAUGGCCUACCAAGGCGACGACGGGUAGCCGGCCUGAGAGGGCGACCGGCCACACUGGGACUGAGACACGGCCCAGACUCCUACGGGAGGCAGCAGUGGGGAAUAUUGCACAAUGGGCGAAAGCCUGAUGCAGCGACGCCGCGUGAGGGAUGACGGCCUUCGGGUUGUAAACCUCUUUCGACAGGGACGAAGCGCAAGUGACGGUACCUGUAGAAGAAGCACCGGCCAACUACGUGCCAGCAGCCGCGGUAAUACGUAGGGUGCGAGCGUUGUCCGGAAUUACUGGGCGUAAAGAGCUUGUAGGCGGUUCGUCGCGUCGUUCGUGAAAACUUGGGGCUCAACCCCAAGCUUGCGGGCGAUACGGGCGGACUAGAGUACUUCAGGGGAGACUGGAAUUC